AUAUACACACACACACACACACACACACACACAUAUGUGUGUGUGUGUGUGUGUGUGUGUGUGUGUGUAUAU